rnacentral:lncRNA from 1 species
ACUGAACCAUGAAAAUGAGGUCAAGGUCAGAUGACACCUGCCAGUUGGACAUGUACACCUUACAGUCCUUCCAUACACCGAAUAUAUUAGCCCUAUUGCUUAUAGUAUCUGAGAUAUGGACUUGACCACCAAAACUUAACCUUGUUCACUGAUCCAUGAAAUGAGGUCGAGGUCAAGUGAAAACUGUCUGACAGACAUGAGGACCUUGCAAGGUACACACAUAUCAAAUAUAGUUAUCCUAUUAUUUAUAAUAAGAGAGAAUUCAACAUUACAAAAAAAAUUUGAACUUUUUUUCAAGUGGUCACUGAAACCAUGAAAAUGAGGGUCAAGGACAUUGGACAUGUGACUGACGGAAACUUCGUAACAUGAGGCAUCUAUAUACAAAGUAUGAAGCAUCCAGUUCUUCCACCUUCUAAAAUAUAAAGCUUUUAAGAAGUUAGCUAACACCGCCGCCGUAGCCGCCGCCGUAGCCGCCGCCGCCGCCGCCGGAUCACUAUCCCUAUGUCGAGCUUUCUGCAACAAAAGUUGCAGGCUCGACAAAAACAAGAAUGUGUCCACAGUACACGGAUGCCCCACUCGCACUAUCAUUUUCUAUGUUUAGUGGACCAUGAAAUUGGAAUUAAUUCUCUAAUUUGGCAUUAAAAUUAGAAUGAUCUUAUCAAAGGGAACAUGUAUACUAAGUUUCAACUUGAUUGGACUUCUACUUUAUCAAAAACUAUCUUGACCAAAACUUAAUCUGAAAUUUGCACUAUCAUUUUCUAUGUUCAGUGAACCGUAAAAUUGGGGUCAAAACUAUAAUUUGGCAUUUAAAUUAGAAAGAUCAUAUCAUAGGGCACAUGUAUACUAUGUUUCAAUUUGAUUGGACUUCAACUUCAUCAAAAACUACCUUGACCAAAAACUUUAACCUGAAGCGGGACAGACGGACGAACGAACGGACGAACGAACGGACGAACGAACAGACGGACGGACGAACGGACGCACAGACCAGAAAACAUAAUGCCCCUCUACUAUCGUAGGUGGGGCAUAAUAAAAGAACCAGUCAAUUGGUAACGUUACAGUACAAAAAAGAAAUUAAUGUGUUUUUAAAAAAAAAAAUAAUGUAUUUAUUUAUCUUUUUAAUUUGAUUUGUUUGCCAAUAUUACUUUUUGUAAGACAAAUUAGAAAGGAUUUUUUAUUUAUUUGAUUUUUGUAUGCCAAUAAAAGUUCCAUAUGAUGUUUUGUAAAAGAAAAGAAAUGAAAUACUAUUAAACCUUUUUUUAUGAAAUCCUAUUUAAAACCUUUAAAAGAAAAAUAUAUUGAAAGAUUUACCAAUAUAAGUUUUAUAUAAGUUUAAAAAAAAAAUGAAAUACUGUAAAACAUUCAAAUGAAAUCCUAUAAAAAAAACUUAAUAAAAAUGGGUGAGUCUAGCAUUCUUUCUUCUCUCCUCUAGUGUUGGCUAUUUUAGUUUGUGAAGUAUGGAUUCAUCUGAUGAUGUGUUGUGGUACCUGUUUGUUACAUACCUUGCUGAUCUAUGCUGUACCAUUUCUUUGUGUAGUAAUACAUAAUCAACUUAUAUUUUGUCCCAUUUGGAUCAUUUGGUCAGAAGAACAGAAAAAAAUGAACGAAAAGGAUCUAUUACACAAAACAAGCUCCAUCUCAUUGACAAAUCUCUUCAUGAAUAAAAGUGCAACUCAUAAUAGUUUUCUGUCAAAUUCACAUUUUUAUUAACGGUUAAAAAAUUUUAAAAUACUUUCAAAUGAUUUACAUUACAUUAACUAAAUGUCAGUUGCACAUUUUAACAUGCUAUGCUAAAUAAUACUACAGAAAACCUAAUAAUGGUAUAAUUUUCAGUCUUAUUUUUUACCUGUCAUUCAACCCAAACUCUAACUGAAAACCCUUUGUUCUUAAUUACCUUUGAUCUCAUCUAUCCAACUUUUUUUUUACCUGUACUACCUACAAUUUUAAAAGGUUGGAUAAAUGAGAAUGAUCCAAAAUUAAAAAGAUCAUAUCAUAAGGAACAUGUGUACUAAAUUCCAAGUUGAUUGGACUUUAUAACUUUAUCAAAAGCUAGCUUGACCACAAACUUGAACCUGAAGCUGGACAGAAGGAUGGAAGGGCAGACAAACAAAAGAACAAAUGAACAAAUGGAAGGACACUAACACCUGAUCCAAAUUGUAAAAUUUUUAUCUAUUCUAGUUCCUUGACUUUAAAUAUGCCAAAAUCUAACUGAAAUUCAUGUAAAAAAUUCAUAAAGAUCUGUUGAUAAAAUCAUGAGAUGUUGCAAUACAUGAUUGGAUGGACAGAGUCAAGGGUUUACCAUAUAAUGUACGUGAAUAACCGGCAUAUAUAAGAUUGAAAGAUCAAAUCUGAAAUUACCAACUAAAUCCAGCUUAUAUAUGGAUAAUCUAAAGGUCACUACUUGGACAGUUGAUAUAUAUCAAGGAAAUCUUUCUUGUCAUUUAUGAAUGAAGUUUUUCUCAUGUGAUAGUGAUCAGUAAGAACUAAUUGACCACUAAUUGAAAGCUUUCAUGGAAGGCCACAUUUUUGUAGCUAAUAGCUUUCUUUUUUAAGAUAACAGAAAAUUAAAAUUGUCCACAAGAGCAAUGCUUUUAGAUUUGAAAAAAGUUAAAUGGGCAACAGUAAAGAAAUCUACAUAGAGUUAAUCAUUUCCUUAUUACCAGUAACUAAAAGCCUUUAAAUAAUCGUCAAAACAAAACUUCAAUUAUUUUCAUGAACGUACAUCUUCUUCAAAUGAUAACAAUUGUAAAAUGCAUGUAAUUUUUUAUCUUAUUCUACAAGUUCCAAAAAGAUUUUCCACAGCUCUGUAACUAUAACAUGAAAUAUGGAUUUUAAAGGUUACAUGUAACACAGAUAACCCAAAGGUUUCUUCUGAAAUUUGCUAAAAUUUGCUAAUCAGAUAUUACAGAUAACCCAAAGGUUUCUUCUGAAAUUUGCUAAAAUUUGGUAAUCAGAUAUUACAGAUAACCCAAAGGUUUCUUCUGAAAUUUGCUAAUCAGAUAUUUAAGUUUAUAUAGAAAAGUAUUACUACUGUAUACCUUUUUGUAUUAUAUCUAUAGACUGUUUUCCUUUGUAAGGAAGUUUAAGGAUGUGGAGACAGCAGAGGCGGAUUUAGGAAUGGGGGGGGGGCAGGGGGCCCCGGGCCCCCCUUUUUGGGAGAAAAAUUGGUUGCUUAUAUAGGGAAUCAUUGAAGCGUGACUGGAGCGGGACCCCUCUUAGGUCAGUCAGUGGGCCCCCACUUAUGAAAAUUUCUGGAUCCGCCACUGGACAGACAUGUGACAGAGUACAAAUUUCAACUGGAGAUUUGAACAUUUUCAGCUAGAGAUUCGUGCUCAUAACUUGAGAUUUUUAUCAACAUUUUAAUGGAUGUUUUCAGAGUUCACUUUGAUAAUAAAUUUUUCCCUGUUCAUACUAUCUUACCACAUUUCCAUAAAAAAAAUUUUUUAAAACUUUUCAAAACAUGUAUAUUUAUAUCUAAUCAGUUAAUUAUAGAUAAAAGACACAUUCUUACCUUAGAUUUAGUUUUGCAAGUCUUUUCUGUAUAUAUCCGUUUAAACCAGCCUAAAAAACCAAAAAAGUUCAAAAUCAAUUCAGGAUUUCAUCUACAAAUGUCUUAUCAAUUUUCCUUUAUCAACUUCUCCUAGAGAACAAACACUGAAAAACUUUUUAAUCACAUCUAAACAAAGCUAAUUACCUCCCCUUUCUAGUGUGAUUUAUUUUGACAAAACAAAUGCCAAUUUACAUGCACAAUCAUUUUAGUAAUUGACCAAUUAAAUUGCAUGUUUAUCGAUUCAGACUUUAUUUGACAACGCAGUAUUUGAUAACCUAAAGAUGAGGUAUGAAUAAAAUACCAAAAUGUUUUUUUAAUUCAAAUAAACUUGAUAAAGUAAUUAAUAAGGGAUCAGCUAUUUUAUGAUGUAAGAUUCAAUUUCUUUUUAUCAGAUCAGAAAUUAUAGAAUAAUCAAAUUUUCUUCCUUCAAUGACGGAGAACAAACAAAUAAAAACUAAGAAGGUAAACAAGCUUUGAAAUAUCAAGGCAUAUCAAACCAUAAGAGCACUUGAUCCUAAUAUUUAGCCUCUGACAACAUGCAACAUCAAAGAUGCUAGGGUACUUAUAUUGAUGUGAUUUUGUUUACUUUUAAUAUUCAUCUCAAAGGUAUAAAUCAAAUAGAAUAUCAAUACAAUUAAACAAAUAUCAAAUGUCUAAUAUUUUUCUGUUCAAAGAAAUUUACAAUAGUUGAUUUAAUUGCUUUUUAAUAUAGCUUUCAUGUCACAAUUAAAAUUCUUUUCAUGAAAAAUAAUCAUUAUGAGACCAUUGCAAAUAGAAUAUAUUGCUGGACUUUGAGUAUGCUAAAAAUACAUCAUCAAGCAUAAACAAAAUCUUUUGAUAAUGAAGGGCAAGUGGAUAAAGGCUACUUUGACCUUUAAAAUUUUAUCUUCAAAGCCAUUAAAAUGACAUUUGCAUCUUAAGACAUCUUGCAUUAGGAACCAAAUGAAAUCUAAAAAUCUUGAGUAGAUACUUCAUGCUUUUCUUCAUUGAAAUUCUGACCUUAUUUAAAUAAUGUAAAAAGAGGUUGACAAAACAAAUGACUUUGAAAAGACUUCAUAUUUAAAAAAUCAUUGCAAUUGUUAAGGCUCUUAAAAAACAUGUUAAUAUAUAAGAAUUGCAUUGAAGCUCAGUGAAUAAAUUUGUGAUUGUUCUAAAAGUUAGAACCAAAUGGAAAAAAAUAACAGUGGGGGAUCCAGAACAUUUCAUGAGGGGGGCAGGCUGAUUGACCUAAAAAAAAGGGGGGCUCCAGUCAUGCUUCAGUGAUUCCUUAUAUAAUCAACCACAUUUUUCCCAUGAAAGCCCCCCCCCCCCUUCCCCCCCGAAAUCCUCCUAGGAUUAAAGUCAAGAAACUAAAACUCCAAAUGCCAUAAUAAUGUGUACUUUUUCAUCCCCUUGUAACUGACCAGCUUUACAUUAAGAAACUUAUUAUGUUCCCUGUAAAACAUUCUUGAUGUCUACAUUAAUUGUUGAGAAUUUGUAUUGAUGGCUGAUGAUGGCAAUCUAUAAUAGUCUCUAUUAAAGUAAUUCACUUUUGAAGACCUCAAGCCAUUAUUCAUACAGGCUUGUCUAUUGUUGCUGACUGUAUCAUGUCAUCACAUUAGCAAGACAAUAAGUGUAUACUGUCCUUUGAGACUAUAAUAGAGUUCAUGUCAGGUUGCUUCUUUUUUCUAUACAAAAAGAGAGCUAUCCAUCACAGGCCAGUUAGUACUAAUUUUUUCCUUCAAUAAUACAGAUAUCUACAGAAACUCAAUAAAUGUUAUAAAGUCUUGAUAAAUAAUUUUUUAUGCCCCACCUACGAUAGUAGAGGGGCAUUAUGUUUUCUGGUCUGUGCGUCCGUUCGUCCGUCUGUCCUUCCGUUCGUCCGUUCGUUCGUCCGUCUGUCCCGCUUCAGGUUAAAGUUUUUUGGUCAAGGUAGUUUUUGAUGAAGUUGAAGUCCAAUUGACUUCAAACUUAGUAUACAUGUUCCCUAUGAUAUGAUCUUUUUAAUUUUAAUGCCAAAUUAGAGGGUUUACCCCAAUUUCACGGUCCACUGAACAUAGAAAAUGAUAGUGCGAGUGGGGCAUUCGUGUACUGGGGACACAUUCUUGUUUUGUACUGUUUUUGUGAGGAUCAUUUGUCGGUGUUCAUAAGACUACAACCCAAUAAACCAAAACAAAAGAGAUAAUGUGGCUUUGGGUCAUCUGAGUAACGUUCUGUGAAUUGUCAAAUACUUGAAACAAAAUGACCUUGACACUCCUAUUUUCUACUUAAUAAAAAAAGAGUGAGUCAGCCGAUUUUAAAAGAAAUUGGAUGAAAGUCCAUUUGGUAAGAUGAGGGCUUCAAAAAAACAUUGAUAUACUUGUUUACUUAUAUCAUUCCCCAUACAAUAAAAUUUGUUCUCUAUAAAUUAUGUUUGUUAAAAGUAUAUGGUCAAUUAUGUUUUACAAAAUACAAAAUUCUGAAAUCUAAAACAGAUAUUAGUAAAACUUAAGCUGGAGUAUAAAUCCAUAAAGGUAAUUAUCUGGUAAUAUUUCUUAGUUUGUUUGUAGACAGACAAAUGUCUUCUGUCUAAUGUAAUUAAUAUUGUAAAUUGUUUAGACCUAUCUGGAGAAAGGGAAUUAAUUUCUCUAAAAUACAAAUUAAGAUUAAAUUCAGUUUUUCAAGUUUAUUUGAAGGUUUUUAUAAUGUCUUGCAGUAUAAGUAAUCCAUAAACUACAUUUAUCAGCACUGAGAUGUCUAUUUCAUUGAGCAUACUUCUUGUACGGGAAAUAUCUAUUUCUAUGAGUAUAUCAAAUUUCUGUGAUAUACCCAUGUUAUUGCAUAUAUUAGAGUUAACUAUCUAUCAUACUUUACAGUCUAUUAGUAACCUUUAAGGUUCCAUCAUGGCUUGGUUACUUUGUCUGACAGUCUGCAAAAGAAAACAACUAUAUACUACCAUGUGUACAGUAUUCAUUUUAUAUGACAUCUAUUUAAAACUCUCCCUUUCGUGUGAACUAGGAGCAAACUUCGAUAUAUAUCUAAUGAAACUAUGCAAGAUAUACAAAUCUUGUAUCACUGUAAAACAGCCUUAAGGUAGAUCAUAAGUAAAUGUUUUUUGAGACAGAAUUGUCUUAUAAUUUGCCAAAAUGAAGAUUUUACUAUGAUUUUUUUCAAAAAUAUAAUAGAAAGUAUGGGUCCCCGUGCUAUUUUUCGAGCUAUGAGUCCUUGAAAAUUGCCUAAAUUUGGUUAGUUUGUUCAUGAAAAAACAAAUAAGAGAGAAUAAAAAAUUUCUAUAAGAUGGAAUUUUGAAAUAAACUGUGAGAAGAUAGGUUUCAUAAUAUGUUUUAAGAAAAUAAAAAGAAAACACGGUGUAACCUAACUUGUUUUCUUGCCACAAGUGAAAAUAAAAAAUGUCCCUAUUAGCCCAGUAUAAAUUUUGUACUAAAAGAGUUAUCUCCCCUUAAAUGGCUCAUUUGAAAAAAAAAAGAUUUUUAAAGCCAAAAAGAUUGAUAUUUGUUAAAAUAUUUUGAAUAAUAGUAUAAAUUAACAAGUUUUCUUUACAUAAAUAAACAGUCUAACCAUUAAAUUGCAAAUCUGUUCCCAAAUUUACUGAUUUGGGCAAAUAACUAGACCGAAUUUGUACUGUGAUUGUACAAUCCAAGAUACCAUGAAUCUACCUUAAUUAAGAAUAAGCUAAAACAAAACAACAACAAAUAUAGAUUUGCUUGUCUAGUAUCAGUUGUAUCUGCAAGAUUUACUGUGUAGAAAAAGUUCACAUCUGAAUGACUGGUAGUCUAUUUUAAGUGUUUUAUAAAAAAAAAAAACUCUUACGCAAAUGUAGUAAAAUAAUAGAUCAUAAAAGUGCAUAUAAUCAUAUCAUAUUUAGCUUGUCACUUUUAAAGUUUUAUUACAGCUCUUUAAUUGGAGUAAUUAACAGUAAAACAUACAUGAGUAUUGUUCUCUACUGUUCAAUAACUGUAAUUAAAAUGUCGCAAUAAUACAAAUAUGAUUUUUAAUUUUAGUUUCUUGUGUAUAAUUCAGAGUUUAGUAUGACGACCAUUAUCUCUGAACUAGUAUAGAUAUUUGUUUAGGGGCCAGCUGAAGGACGCCUCUGAUUGCGGGAGUUUCUCUCUACAUUGCAGACCUAUUGGUGACCUUCUUCUGAUGUCUGUUCUAUGGUCGGGUUGUUGUCUCUUUGACACAUUCCCCAUUUCCAUUCUCAAUUUUAAAUAUCAACCAGUACUGCUGUUAAAUACAAACACAUUAUGUUAGACCCCGUUUACACUGGCAACGAAAUUGAAUCGAUCUUUAUUUGAAUCAAUCUUAAAAAGACCAGUUCGCGUUUACAUUGCACAUGCAAGAUCGAUCGAGAUCGAUCUUAAUUAAUCCAGUGCUUUUACACUAACAUAAAAAGAAUCGGUCUGAACUUUAUUUUCCUAUCUAAAUAUAACAAACACCUGAAAAAAAGAUCGAUCCAUCGACCUAAGUGUUUACACCAAAAAAAAGAUCAAUUCAAAUAAGAUCGAUUUUUUUAAAACCACCUCUAGAGGUAGUAAAGAUCGAUCUCUUUUGUCAGUGUAAGUGGGGUCUUUGAGUACUAUAAAUGUUGGCCCUACUUAAAGAGAAAAAAUAGAGGUCCACAAGAGCCUGUAUCGCUUACACUGCUUUUAACAAAAUUGCCUAUAAAAUAUUUUUGAGAUGAGUAUGAUUACCAUACAUGUCAUACUGAAACUCUUAGAAUUACUUUUUACUUUAUUUAUAUUUUCAGUAUCAACCAAACACCUUGAACAAUCAGAUGCUGAUGCCGUCAUUUUUUAUGGCCAGACAUGGGAAAGAUUUAUCUUCUCUAGUCUAAUUUGGCCAUACUUGGAUUUUAGUUACUCCAACUUUUCACUUCUGAAAUCUGAAAUAGUUUGAUCCAUCAGAAUUCAUGACAGCCAUCUUGGAUUACAGAAUAGAUAAGAAUGCUAUUCAAUCUUUAGCCUGCUGCAAUAUUGUGAUUAUUUUUUUAAAGCAUUUGAUCUUAAAUUAUGGUCCACUCACAGAUCAAAUAAAAUUGAUAAGUUUGAAAUUUCCAUGUACGAUUAAUUGAUUUGCAAUGAAAACAUAUUCUAUACCUAUCAUGUAUACUGUUCUGCACACCAGACAGACAGUUUAAAAGAUAUAUAUUUUUUUGCAACCAAUCCAUUGUCAAAUAUUGAUGAUCUACCAAUAAUUCAAAAAAUAGUACUUAAUUUUUAAAGGAGAAUCUUUUUGUGAAAGUUAACAAACAAAGGGAGACAACAGAAGCCAAUGCAAAAGCUUACACUGGCACCUUUGAUUACAUCAGUCCGAAAAAGACAAGUAAUGAGUGACUACAACUCAACAAAAGUUGGUCAAGUAAAAUGAAAGAAAACCUCAUUAUGGGUCUUAUUACUUUCCAUUUCAAAAUUUAAAACCAUGGCAAUCAGAUGGCAAAGCCUUGAAGUAUAAUAAAAAAAAGUAAUUUCUUCAUGAUAUGACAAAUGUCUUCCCGGAUUAUGGUUUUUGAAUGAAAAGCAAUGGAAUAAUAUCAGGAACAAAAUGAAAAACAUUAACUAUAACUUUCCUUUUUUUUUUGAAUCAGAUACAUGUCAGCAUAUAAGAUGCUUUAAUCCAUUUCCACAAGAAUCCUAUUAAAGUUCGGUUGUUAUCUUUGGUUCAUGUCUGCCAUAUUUCUUUUUUUUUCAUUAUUCCUUUUGUUAUAAAUCUUAGGCUGUAGGUUUUCUUGUUUGAAUUCAUUUAAAUUAUAUAUCUGACUAUACAGUAUCAGUUUUGCUCAUUGUUGAAGGCCAUACACUGACCUAUAAAUGUUUACCUGCACAUCAUUUGGAAUCGGGUGGAUAGUUGUCUCAUUAGCAAUCACACCACAUCUGCCAACCAGUCAAGGUCUUUCAAACCUCCAUCUUAAGUACCAAUCUUAUAUUGAUAUUUCAUGCUUAAAAUUAUUACCAGGAGUCCAUGAUUAAUGGGUUUGAAAAUUUAUUGGAACCAGUCAAUUCCCAAUGAUUUCCCUCUGUUCAACUCAUCUUCACAUAUAUUCUGUCCAAGAUAAUACAGAACUAUCACUGUGAUUGUUAGAACACUAAUGACAGACAGUGUAAUGAACCUGUUCCAGACUUUGCAUGUCUCUACCAAUAUGUAAAGCAGAAUUCUAAUAUGACGUGCUUCUUUCGCUUUGUAAACAACACCGUGAUAAAAUUCUCGAUAUAUCUAUACUUGGCGCAGACUCCAAGAUGUACACAAAUGGCUGUUUAAAUAUGCCUCCCACGUAAAUCCACAUGUAUCGUAACCUAUGUGUAAACGGUUGUGGAUUUCGCUGUUAAUUACAAUUGAAUAAAACCCUACAGAACAUUUAUUCUGAUUCUGACGCAUAACAAAAAGAAUUUAAAAUUCCGCGAAAUUCCAGUAAUGAUUUUGGCGCAUUAACGUCAUUUCAAACAUGACGUCAUACGAAUGAAAACGUCAAAGCUGAAGGUUUUUCUAUUGCGUUUACCUUCUAAACUCGGAGAGAAUUGCAUUAAAAUAAAGUACUCAGGUAGAUGUUGCUUGUUUUUAUGUUCUAUUGCAUUAUUCGCACAUUUACUGAUUUCAGCAAGUCAACAUGGUGGCUCCUUGGUUACAACAUGUCAACAGUGAAUUUGAUGGUAGUUACGAUAAAAAAUGUAAAUUUAAAACUUUGCAUGUUGGGUUCUACCAGAAUGCAAAAAAAGUAAUCACAUUUUUUUCUGUGGUUGUUAAGAAAUCAUAAUGCAGGUUAUUAGAUUUGUUUUACAUUUAUCGAACAGUGUAAAUAGAACAGCACACACAUGUAUACCAUCAUCGCUUCAGUUUUUAAAUGAUCGUAUUUGUCCAUUAGAAUUGUAAAUAAUUCAUGAAGCCAUAGAUUUGUUGAAAUUUACACAUGGCACUGGGCAGUGAUAUUCGUUAAUUUUAUCUCUCGCUAAACACUCAGGAUAAAAUUCGAAUAUCACGGCCCAGGCCAUGUGUAAAUUUCCAACAAAUCUAUGGCUUCCAUGAAAUUAUUUCUUAACUAUUACUGUGGUUGUUAGAACACUAAUGACAGACAGUGUAAUGAACCUUUUCCACACUUUGCAUGUCUCUACCAAUAUGUAAAGCCACAAUGUUGAUUACACUUUCCAUUCAAUUACUUAUAAACAAUGAUAUAAAAUUGAAUUUCAGGAAAUCCUUUUAUCAAUAUAAAAACUGAAUAUCCUAUUAAAUUUGAGUUUAAUUUAGAUUAAGACAAGCAAUUCAAUUUCUUAUCAAUUCAUACCAGAAAGUAUUAAAAUAUCUUUUGUUUAGGUUUUCUAGUGGUUAUUUUAAUUGACACCUGAAGCUAUUGCAAUCAAUCCUGAAGGGUUUCAUCCUGCAAAUAUGCAUGAAACCUUUGCCACUGGACAUUAAACACACAACAAAAUCAAUCUGUAAAUCUUGUAUGGUUUUAGGAAAAGAUUAAAUUUUUAAAUUUCAUUUCUUAUCUUCAUAUUUAUGGCAAAAUUGAUAAUAAAAAACUCACCAAGGAUACAUAACUUUGUACACUGGACAUGCAUUAUGUAUACAAAAGUCUAAGACUCAUCAUUGAUGAUUGAAUAAUAAACUUGUCAACUUAGAAAUAAAGUAAAAAGUGAAAAUCUCGACAUGUGAUGUUUCUUAAGAGUCAGGGUAAAGCAAGAUUAUUCACCUAAAACUGUAACUAUGAAAUAAAGAAAAAGAGUUCAGAUUGAGAAAUUUUGGCAAAAGUGAAAUUGGAAAGAAGAUAAUUUGUAGAAAUGGGGAACCACAAACAGUUACUGUUCUUUGAAGAAUACAAUGAAUAUUUGUGAAGAAUUCAACUCUUGGUAUGAUUAAAAAGAGAUGUGGUGUAUAGUUGAAUGAUUGAUUGUUGGUGUUUAAUGCCACUUCAGCACAAGUGGCUGCAUCGUGGGUGACAGUUUUUGUUGGUGGAGGAAGACAGAGUGCAUGGAAAGAAUUACUACCUUCGACAGGAAAACAAGCAAUCCUGGUCAUUUCAAGAUUAGAGUUGGAUGCAUCUGCCACUUGCUGGGUUCAAACUAUUGCAUCACAUCCACAGUUUUGACAGGCUAGUGAUGAUGAACUACCUAAACCACUCAGGGGACCCUCUAGGUCAAUGUGACAAAAGUCUUAUAAAACAUUUAAAACAGAAAAUACAUCUGAGGUCAAUAUGAUACAGUGCUUUAUAAUGGACAAGAGUGUACUUUAUACCCAGUAACCCUGUAUCCUUUAAAUCUGGACAAGUUGUGAAAAGUAGUGGCCAGAUGAAAGAUGUGCAUUAACACCCAGCCGUUUUGACACAAUCAAUAUUUGUUAUAGACAAUAUAUUCAUAACUUGGGCAAACUUUGUGAUCAUAGAUUACCUAAUCCAAGCCUCAAGUUGCUGAGAAAUCAGUCAGGAAAAAUAAUGUUUGGAUUAUGCUGUUUCAGAAUCAGGUUAAUGAAAGAUAUUUACACAUCAAUAUAAUGCUAAUUGUCAAUUUCUUUUAUCAUUCUAAUGCAUAGCUACUGUAAAAUCUGUAUGAAACAUUCUGGUAUAAUUUUAAAAGGAAAGGUUUAAAAACAGAUUUAUUUGUAAACAAGUUGAGCCUGUAAAAGUAUUUAUUACAUUUGGUGCAAUGAAAUAUGGUGAUUUCCCACCAAAAUAAAACCUGAUAAUUUAACAUUUGAAAUAAAUCUGAUAAUUUCACUCCUCUGACAUUGUAUAACAAUGGGUAUUGUCAAGACAUCGUGAUUGAUGCAGCAUCAAAACUAAUUGGAAAUGCGUAGAAAAAGAUAAAGUUCCUGGUAUCCAUUAAAAAGCCAUGGUCAAUGUCAUAAAAAGAAUAACUUAUUAAUGAAUUCAAAUAUAGAAAAACAUUCAAUUUGUGACCGUACAAGAAUGAUAAUUAACUCAUGAGCUAUGGGGAUUCAUGAAUUAAUGUGUUGACCCAUGGAAGUAAUAUUGAAAGGAAUAACAUCGUCGUCACUUCAAAGGUUCAUCUGCGUUACCGCCCAUCUUUCGAUAACUCGUUAAUUGGUUCAAUAUCUGGCAUGGAAGUUGAUUCUCCGCAUGUGAUCGAUCAAAUCACUGACACUUAUCGGUCAUUUUCGUGUUCACGGAGAAUUACGAACAGACAAGUUUUUGUCGUAUAUACGUGCGAAGUUACCCAAAUAGUCCAUUCGUUACAUUCCGUUGAUGUACGCUGCCGAAUAGAGUCAUUCGUUCAAUUUUUAUUUUAGUCCAUUUUUUUCCUAUUUUUGGUUAGUUUGAUCUUAAUAGUUUAAACCGACAGCUAUCACAUACGAAAUUGGAGAACAAGGCUGGGUCACUUUCAAUUUUGAUAUUUAUAGACAGUUAAAAAACCAUUUCCGUAAGUUAAGAAGAUGAUUGUUAAAAAAAUACGUUUGGACCCCCUUUAUUAAAUACGAAAAAUCUAAGUCUUUCGUGUAUUAGUCAAUUAAAAUAUUCACAAUUCUAAACGGUUCUAUCCUUCAAUUUAAGUUCUUGAUACAUAAACUAAUUUGUGUAAAAGUGAAUUUGCCAUAAUACAGAGCCCAUUUCGUCGGUUUGUUAUAAUUUUGCUGUAGCUUGUUAUAUUAAAUGUGCAUUCCACAAUAAACAUUUGUAAAAAAAAAUAUAUAUAUUUACGAAAAUUUUAUCCACUUUUUAGUUGUCCAGUUUCAAUAAUGUAAUGACAUUUAUGACAUAUACAUAAAUUUAAUACUUGAAAGUAACUAUCCUUUUUUCAAUCUCGAUAAACUUUGCACAUUUCAAAAGUAAAAAAAAUUAUGUCUAGAUUUGCCUACAUUAUUUUGUUAGGCAUCAUGUGAAACCUGAUCGAUUCAUCGGUAUUUAAUUGUUUAACUCGGGAUCCGCUUUUAACCGGAAAAUACUUUUAAAACAGUUUAAAACAAACGGUAAAAAGCAAAAAUAUGCUAAAUUAUAUACAAUUUUCCAUGCUAAACUGCUGUAGUUUGAACAAUUCUCGGCCGUUUUUCAAGUUUUUUUACAUCAUACGACUUCUUUCUGAAGGUACAGGUUUUAUAUGAUACAGCGCCACCUUCUUAUUAAUAAACCUCAGAUUUCACACAGGUACUUUAUAAUUACCGGACUCGAUAAAAUCAUGUGACUGAUAAGAAAUUCCAGAUGCCAUUUUACAACCGCGGUAUCACCGAUAGUAACCAAAGGGGUCUUACCGCUGAGACUAUAAUUGGAUAAAAUCAUAUGACUUUAGUACAGGGCUCUGCCGGCCGUUAAUACAUGCUAAUUAGUCGAUGUUAUUCCUUUUAAAUAUUACUUCCAUGGUUGACCGUUCACUUAUUAAUAUACUACGAAUAAAUCAACAGUUAACCUUGAUAUCUCCAAUACAAUGUUUAAUGACAAAGAGAAGGACAGAGUUUUGACAGGCUAGUGGCACAUAAGUUAAACUAAUGGGACAACUCGACCAAGGCCCUUAAGGGCUAAAUAAAUUUACCUCCAUUUUGUUGGUGGCUAUUUCUUUUAUCAACAAAACUUUAAGUGUUUAAUACUUAAUCAAAGAAUAUAUCUUCAUUUAAAACAACACCAUUAUAGUGGGUGCAAUUUGAUAACAGUAAUAUAAUCAGGACCAAACAAUUUAUAUGUUAAAAAUCGGCUUAAUUUCUGUUGACCACAGAAAAAAAUUUAAUUAAAUGACCAUGAUAUUUUAUGUAUAAUCAAUCUAGUCACAUAAAGCCGACAGUCGAAAGCUCAUUACAUCAGAUAUCUUGUCUAUAAGAGAUCAGGUGUUAUUAUCACUUCUAGGAAGACAGAUUGAUGUAACUCCAUGCAAAUUAAAAAGAAAGCUAUAAAUUAGGGAACAGGAAUAAAGAAAAUAGGGGCUAAAAAUCAAUGGACAGCAACCCACUGACAUAAAUAGCAUAAGGACAUCUAGAGGUCAAUAUAUUGAAUCUACAAAAAAGAAGAUGUGGUAUGAAUGCCAAUAAGACAACUCUUCACAAGAGACCAAUUGACACAGAAAUUAUAACAACUAAAGGUCAUUGUAUGGCCUUCAACAAUGAGAAAAGCCAAUACAGCACAGUCAUGCAGCUAUAAAAGCCCCCAAAAUGACAAAACUUAAAUAAUUCAAACCACCUAAUAUUCAUGAAGUCGACACAACUUGAAUAAAUCUAUAUCAUCCCAAAGCUAGAAAAAAAUGUGAAUAAAAUUUAAUAGGGUACAUCAGAUAUCUGACAUCAACAUGAAAUUCUGCUGCUAACAAAAACAUGCUGUUCUGACAAAAGUCAACAAUUGAAAAAGGUGUUAAUUGGACAGUUUCAUGUGAAAUCAUAACACACUACUGACCUGAGUCUGUCAACUAUAUAUGGGAAAACCAAUGUUGUUGGUUUGCUGUUUCAUCAAAAUAUACCAACAUGUUUAAUUCAUUUUCAAAGGAACACUAAUUAUAAGGCCAUAGAUUUUUUAUUAUCCGCAUUAAGCAUCAUAAACAAUGACUGAUCGAUUGUUUUCCUAAGUAGUUACAGUUUUGCAUCAUAUUUGUCAGUAUAUCACUAUUGUAAUGUCAACUUAGUAUCUUAGAGGACAUUUGGCAUAGGGAUCAUUAAAGAUGAAAAGUCUCAUUGGCGCUACUCUCGUUGACCUAAGAAUGUUUUCCAUGUCACAUUAUAAAAUCAAUUAUUCCUUCUUACAAUUUUUCUUAACAGAUUUUUUGUAUAUGAUAUCAUAAAGUUCCACACAAAAAAUGAAGAAGAAAAAGGCAUUAUUUGAAGAAAAUUUGGUCUUCUUAUUUCCACAACCAUUGUGACUAACAGAGAGUACUUUCAAUCAUUGCAAUGAAUAGUACUCUGCUGAUAUUGAACAUUAAGAUAUCUAUUCAUAUUGCUAGUAAUCCUUUGUUCCAAUGACACCCUUUUCAAACCAUAGUCAUAUAUAUAUGCUGAUUUAAAAGCAAGAGAAAAUAUGAAAGAAAUAAAUAGGGGAAAAAAGCAUCACCACAAAAAAGUGAUCGAAUUUAGAACUUUUAGAACCUUAAUAGCUGGUAUAGACCUUGAGAAAAACUGUUUGGCCUCUGCUGGUAUAGACCUUUGUCAAAACUGUUUGGCCCCUUUUUAUAAUUAAAUAAUCAAAGUCCAAAGUUUCAAUCAGCAUCUAAUAUAUUUAGGGUAAGCCCCAGUUUGAUUCAUGACCAACUAAUGCUGUAUGGAGAAAACAAUUAAAAUACAAGUUUCUUGAUGUUACUUAUUAUUUUUUUUCAAAUUCACUAAAAAGAAUUUUAAAAUCAUUAUCAUGUUUCAAAUCAUGUGAAGUUUAAAAUGAAAAUUUAUUACAUUUUGUUGACACUUAAAAAAAUAGCUACUUCUGUCAAUUACAUACUUUACUUUUGCAGAUUAACCAUUGCAAUUCCAUAAGUACCAAUACUGGUGGUUAAUCAACUUUAUAUUAAAAGAGCCUUACCUAAGUUAGGUCUGUUAUUGUUCUGAACUGUUAUAUCCAAUAGUACCACUACAGAGCCUGACGUCAAUAUGUAUCAAGUAUGGUUAAGCUUUAAUGAUCACUAUAAUGAAAUACCACACACUGUCAAUUACUAAUUUUGUACAGGAAGAAAAUGGAUCAUUCUUUAAAAAAUAACGAAGAUCUCACGACAAAUCAAAUAGAUUGCUUUGUCUGAACUAAUGGUGAUCAAAUUACACCACAAGCAAUUAUAUAUUUUUUGAAGUUCAUAAAAAAAAUUUAAAAAAAUCUUUAAAUCAGUAGCUUCCACCAAGACAUAUUUGCUCAUAUAUCAAAAGUUUUUUCCAAAAAUAUUCUAGAAACAAACACAGAUGUUGCUUAAUCUCCUCUUUAAAAAUCAUGUGUUUUGCAGAGAUGUUUGAAAUCCUUAUAUAUAUAUAAUAUAAUUAUUUUCUGUGACUGUAUAUUACAUUAAUUUGUAGGAUCCUUUACUAUAGAUAAUUUAGCUGAUCUGUAACAAUAACAUCUUCAUGCCUUAUAUAUCAUGUACUGUAGUACGCCGCUAGAUUAAAACUGACGAGGAAAGGUAACACACGGCCAGCGAAAGCUUUUUUUUUUGAGAGCCCAGGUGGUCGUGUGGUCUAGCGGGAUGGCUGCAGUGCAGGCGAUUUGGUGUCACGAUAUCACAGUAGCAUGGGUUCGAAUCCCGGCGAGGGUAGAACCAAAAAUUGCGAAAGCAAAUUUACAGAUCUAACAUUGUUGGGUUGAUGUUUAGACGAGUUGUAUAUAUAUAUAUAUAUAUAUAUAUUUUACAAAAUAAAAACAAAUAUCUCGUUUUCAGGAACCUCUCAAUGAAUGUUGCUUCGUAGAUGUUUGAGCUUUUUUCUUGUUUUUUUUUAUUGACAGAAAGAUGUUUUAAUGAUUUGGUGGCAGAGUUUCUUACUUUUCAAUUUGAAAUCAUUACCUGAAAUAUUUCAUCUAAUAUAUACAGGUUUAAUACCAACAAAGCAUUGUACAUCACAUUUAGUAUGGAGUAUAGUUACAGAUCACUGUCAGGCUAUUAGUUUUCAGAGGGAGAUAUGAUUCCUGAAGCAUACAGAAGUAUUCUUUUACAACUUGUAAAGAACCAGGGCAAUUUUAAGCUAAACUCAUUGAAUUUCGACUUUUAUUGCUGUUGGAAACAGUAUGUCAACCUCUAUACGUCCUUUUAACCUUUAUUCAGAUUUUUGAUUACUGUCUCAUUGAUACAUUUCCAUAUACUUCUUUAUUCAUAUAUCAUGCAGGCUUAAAGCAAUUUUUUUUCAUUCUUGUUUGGAUUUCUGUGAGGUGUUUUUUUUUUUUUUUUUUUUUUUUUAAGUUUAUUGUCUUUUUUUCAUCCAUGAUAUUGUUGGUCUUUCUCCUACAUACCUUUUUUGAUUGACCCUUGUUCUCUUAUAUCUUUUGAGAUUCAUUGAAUUUUCAGCUAAUCUGCCAGGUUUUCUAAAGGGUCAAAUGGAAUCUACAACAAUAAUGAUACAUUUUAAUUUCAAGGAUGGUUGGUUAACUAUACAUGUAUAUUGAAAGACAUAAAUUUGAGAAUGGAAAUGGGGAAUGUGUCAAAGAGACAACAACCCGACCAUAGAACAGACAACAGCAGAAGGUCACCAAUAGGUCUUCAAUGCACUGCGAGAAUUCCAGAUGUGAGCAUCCUAAAAUUUGAAGGGGAAAAAGAAUUUUCCAGAUUUUUCAUGAAGUUUAAUAGGUAGGUAUUAAGAUGCUUUUCACUGUACAAUCUUAAAAAAAAAAAUAACAAAGAUUAAACCAGAGUUUGCAACGAUGUAUUUCAUGAUGCUGUAACAGGUAGAGUAGGAUUCAUCCUAAAAAAAAAUACCAUUGUACCAACCCGAAUAAUUCAGUCCCUCCCCGUAAUCGAUCUCUCCAACUUACGAGGUUAAUGUAGUAAUCGUAGAUCAGCGAAAACAACUGAAUUGUUCAGGUUACCAUCGUACCAGAAUCCUGGACCCCAUGUAGUUAGGUCAAGGGAUGUAACUACUUUACUUCCCCAAUCUCAUUUGGAUUCAUUAUGGUAUAUUUGGUUUCAAAUCGGUGGUAAAACAGUUCAUUUGAUUUUGAGAUGGAGUAUUAAACUUAAUAAGCAGAGCAUGAUUUGUCUCACUGUUGCAAGCUAUGGGUCAAACUGGAUCCUAACAGUAAACCAACACAUAACAAGAGGCUGUCACAACGACAGCAAACCGGAUUUAUUAACAUUUAUUUGUGUCCUGGCAAUAUCACAAGAACCAUUACUGAUGAAUGGUGAAAGUGAAAAUUGUCAAUAUCAAAUUUGUCCUCCAUUUUGUCAUCAGUAUCAACAUAUUAAAAUUUGAAAAGCUUAGAUGGAAUGGUUCACGAGUAAAUGCAACAACGUGAAUGGAAACGCCAUUUUACGAUCUUUCAAGAACCAUAACUCCUGAACGGUAAAAGUCAAAAUCGUCAUUAUUGAACUUGACCUCUAUUUUGUCAUCAGUAACAACAUAUUAAAAUUUCAAAAGCUUUGGUUGAAUGGUUCAUGAGAAAAUGCACGGACAGGACAGGAAACACCAUUUUUCAAUCUUUCAAGAACCAUAACUCCUGAACGGUAAAAGUCAAAAUCGUCAUUAUUGAACUUGACCUCCAUUUUGUCAUCAGUAACAGCAUAUUAAAAUUUCGGAAGCUUUGGUAGAACAGUUCAUGCAUAAAUGCACGGACACGACUGGAAACUCCAUUUUUCAAUCUUUCAAGAACCAUAACUCCUGAACGGUAAAAGUCAAAAUCGUCAUUAUUAAAUUUGACCUCCAUUCUGUCAUCAGUAACAACAUAUUAAAAUUUGGGAAGCUUUGGUAGAACAGUUCAUGCGUAAAUGCACGAACACGACUGGAAACUCCAUUUUUCAAUCUUUCAAGAACCAUAACUCCUGAACGGUAAAAGUCAAAAUCGCCAUUAUUGAACUUGACCUUCGUAUAGUUGUCAGUAAUAACAUAUUAAAAUUUUUAAAAGCUUUGGUUGAACGGUUCAUGAGUUAAUGCACGGACAACAUUUGAUUGCCGCCCGCCCGCCCGCCCGCCCGCCCGCCGUACAUCCCCAAAUCAAUAACCGACAUUUUUGUCACAAAAAUCCGGUUAAAAAGUGAGCUUUGAAGUAAUCCUCUGGCACAACUAAUGAAGGUUGCAAGAUUAUAUAUCUACUAGGGUCAAGGGAAGCCCAGCCACAAUGUAAUUUGAUUUGUAGUAAUGAAUUAUAAAAUAAGGAAAAAGAAGGGUGAGGGUGUCAGAUGGGGUAAAAUUUUCUAAUGCUAAUAAAUAAAAAAAUACAAAAGAAGCUCCAAAUAAUCAUACCUGCCAACUUUUCAAAUGCCCAUGGGGGUUUUGAGUGCAAGAUGGCUGUCAUAGUCCUAAAAAACCUUCAAGGGGGCCUUCAAAUACAUUUUAAUGUUGUUUUUUGGCUUCUUCAUACCUUUACAAGCCUAAUGUCAUUGUAAAAUUAAUUGUUUUGUUAGAAAUUAUGGACAAAAUUGCUCUUUCAAAAUUUCAAUUUGGAAGCCUCCAUAGGGGAAAGGGAGAGAUCCGUUUGCGCCAAAAAUGCGUCUUUUUGCGCCACAAUUUUUUUCUCCAAUGCUACGUUUGCGCCACCUGUUUUAAAAUUACAUGGUAUCAUUUGCGCCAAAAAUAAAACAUACGAUUGCGCCAAUUAGAAGAAAAAUAACGUCCCUCCUCCUUUAUUUGGACUUGGAACCGGCAGUUUACACGGCAAAUGUUUCCUUUUCUGAAACAUACUUUCUUGUUACUGCUGCUGGAUGGGUUCUUCCCAAUUUGAUGUAUGUAGUAGCAUGUAACUUCACUUUAUUGUUCAAAAGGACAAACAUUGAAGGAUGAAAUGCAGAAAACAGAUCAUUAUAAUGCGGUAGAUAGAGUUUCAGCCCAUACGGAUGGUGGGAACAAAGCACGGUGUCAUCAACAUACAUGUAUGUGGCUAAAACAUAAUCAGCAAAAGCUUAUAUGUUCUUCUUUUGGCAUAUCUUGUAUUAAAUAUUCAGCAAACCCAAAUUAAUAAGUUUUCUUCUCUCUAUGUGCAUGGACUGUCUAAUGCAUUUCAAGUCAUUUCUCUCCAGAUGCUCAUCUUCAUGGUGAAAUAUCUCCGAACAUAUGAUACUUUUUUAGCCAAAACUAAGAAUAAAUAUUAAUCAUUAAUAUUUAUGAUAGAUAUGUGUACAGGUAAAUUGGCGCAAAUGAGUUCCGAAUAUUGGCGCAAUCGAUACAUUUGGAAAACAAUAUUUGGCGCAAAUGAUACCCCUGAAAAACAGUAUUUGGCGCAAAAGGACUGCUGCCAGGGGAAAUCCCCCGCAAAUAGUGACAGUUGGCAGGUAUGAAUAAUUAAGAUAACAAGAUGGCCUAGAUGAUCAGGAAACAUUGUGAUGUGACUCUUGUUUAACUGCUUUUAAAGUUCAUUAGAAGGAGUCUAUUUUAACUUAAAUUGGCUAUAAAAUGCACUUAAGUGAGCCUUAUGCGAAAGUUAAAAUAAUUUUUCUCCGUUUACAAAAAAAGUGCACUGAAGUGCUCGUAUUGAUUUGUUACAAACAAACUACAGAUAUGCUGUGUUAUUACAUAUUGUAUCUUCACUAUGCUUAAAAAGAGUAGGGAAGCAAGAUUAUCUUGUUUGCUAAUGUUAGGGUUAUGUACUGAAUAUGUUCAAACGAGAUGUGAUUGAUUAAGAUUUUAAGUUUUGAUAAUUGCUACAUAUUUCUAGUUGUUCCUCAUGCUUUAACUUUGAAAAUAAUCUGUAAAUGUAAAUAUUCAUUUGACAGACAGAUGAUGCUUCUUUAUGAUUAUCCAAAGAAAAAAAAAUCAUACAUACCUUUCAAAUUUUCCGAAUUAAAUCUUCUAAAGAACAUAAAAAGUAAUUUAAAUUGUGAAGUACAUCAAUAAUCAAGCCAAAGCGUUAAUUACCAGGACUAUAUCUGGUCAUCCAUCACGUCAGAGGGGAUGAAAAAUCGGGAGAAAGAAUCGUAAUUUACAAGUCACGUCAAACAGUCUAUCAUGAUUAACUAUGUUUCUGUAAGACAAUUGCUCAUUAUAAAUAAGACUGACUAGCUGAUUGAUAUCACCAAAACCAAAUACAAAACUUUAAAUCGGUGAUCAAUAUAAAUAAUUUGGCAUGCAUAUCCCAGGGGUGUGGAAAUGCUAUGCCCGACUUGCCCGACUCGUACAUUUGAACAACCGGACAAGUAAUUAUUUUUGUCUGGGUUGCCCGUGGACAAGUAAAAAAUAAUAAAAGACAAAUUUCAAAUGCAACAGAAAUAUAGAAUUAAUUUCAACAUGUUCAAAAUGUAUAAAGAUGUUAAAUUUAUGUAAAAGAAACCAAUGGUCAGCGAGUAAAAACACAAAUGUUCAUGACGAUAAAUAUUACAUAAUAGCGGAAAUAGAUCGAUUAACAAAAUAAAUAAAAAUAAGUAUGCGAACCCGAGUUGCGUAACAUUGCAUUGGUUUUGUCCAUUGACACGGGACCGUCGAUUAGGUUUUAUCCAUGAAGUGUCAUUUGUAUAUGAUUUUGUAUCGAGAUUCAGAUUGAUAAAUACUUUAUAAAACACCGGGCAAGUAAGACAAAAAGAAUAUUGAGUCGAGUAAAAAACCCAAAACGCAAAUGAAGGAUAAGGAGUAUUAAAAAAAAAUACGGAAGCGAAAAUUCCAGACAUCGUGAAUAUCAGAUUGCACCUGGCUAUCUAUAGGAUGGAAAUUCGGAAAAUAAAUAAAUCUUUUGUCUUUAUAUUUAUAGAUCAAUGGUCAACAUUAUUUGUUGUCAGAGUGGUAAAUAGAAGGGACGGUUUAAUUGCCCAUCAAGACAAUUAUAAAAAAAAACAAAAAAACAAGUGUGUCAGUUAAGAGAAACAGCAAAAAAGUCAAUAGUUUAUCCAUUAUUUAAUUUCCAUUUCUUCACUCACUGUCCUUUAAAUUAAUUUAGUAUACCAUUAUAUGUACCUACUAGCUACAAUUUUUAUUCAAAAACUGCUGCAAAAAUUACCUUUACAUGUCAUUUCAUUGGUUGGUUUGCUGUAAGGUUUCUGUCCCAUAGAUGUUAACCUACUUUCCUAAAUUUUUACACAUGAUAAACAAAUGGGUUUCAUUUGUUGGUAAUGCAAAACAGUGCUAAGACUCAUAUCUUAACUACAAUAAAAUACUUCAAUAUUUAUUGGGACCAUCAGGGCUAGUAACUUUUUUUCCGGACAAGUGAACUUUACAGUUUUACUUGCCAAGGGACAAGUGCCCACAUCAAAUAUUUCCACACCCCUGUAUCCAAUAUGUGAUCAUAAGUUAGUUUUUCAGUAAUAGGUUGUAUUUAUUUCAUUAUCUAAAAAGCAUUUAUUUUUUAUAAAAGAUGAAGUUGUUAUGCAAUGAAUCUCAUUUUUCAAUUCACAAUAUGUCUAAUUGUUACAAUAAAUAAAAUGCAAGUCAGUUUCAGCACCUACACUAAGUCAUUAAUUACUGAUGUACAAUAAGGAAACUCAAAUAAUGAUGUAGAACUAUUUUAGAUUGUUUCUAAUUUAUUUUUGGUGUUUAAGGUACAAUGUACUCCCAAACAGCACCACAGGCUGCAUGCAUCAUUAUAGUAUCAAGGGAUGAGUUCAUUUGAGUAUAUGUCCUUUACAUUCAAAGAUACGUGGGUAAUGCAUCUUAAUUUGUCUAAAAUAUUUAUCAAAGUCAAAGGGUGCUUGAGGAAGUCUAAAAACAACAAAAAUAACUCAUAUAUAUAAGGAGUCAAUUAAUCAACAAUUUCAGUCAUGUUGACUAUAAUGAUGGGUAAAAAUUGUCAUUUCAGAGCGUUUCAAAUAAGGAUUGAGUCAAUUGGCUGUUUUGUUUUAGUUUACUUACUCCUGGAGUUGGUUUCACAAAAAUACUUACGACUAAGAUUGAUCAAAAGUCAUGAACAAUUCAGCAUACUUGCAUCAAUCUUAGUUGUAAAAUUUUUUGUGAAAGAGACUCCAUGUACUUGACCAGCUGAGUUAAUUUUGUCAGACAUUUUUAUGUUAUGACAAUGAAAAUGUUUGCCUUUCUUUAAUUGCUUUGCAUCCUUUGAAAGUAUCAAGGGGGAAUUAUUCAUAUUAUUCCUAAUUUUAGUAACAUUAGUGUUUGUCAAAACGGCAGAUUUUGCAUAAUUGACAUUACCUUCAGACUAUUAAUGAUUUUUUGGGACAGAUAAAAAAAUAAAAAGAUGUGAUAUAAUUGCCAAUGAGACAACUUCCUAUUAUUUUUUUACACUAUUUUUUAUUUUUUUAUUGGUGGAAAUUGAACUUAUUAUCAAAUCAAGUUCAUAAUUCAAAAUGUAUGACUCCAGUGAUUUGAAAAACAUUUCAAAUUAUCUAUUGCUAUACAUUUUGUAAUUUGUUCACUCAUUUUUCCAUCUGAUUGCCUAAAAAUGAAACUGAACAGAAGAACUGAACAAGUCUUGCAUGAUUCUAUAUCGAUGUGAGACAUCAAAGAGAUGAGUAGGUAAGGGACAUUAAAUUUUAUGCACUCUUUGACACAUAGCAGGAAAGUAUGGAAUGAAUAAAUACUGAAAAUAUUGCUAUGAAUGACAACUUGAUGCUCUCAAGAGCCUAAAUCACCCACAUGGUUUAACAUACUUGGCAUUUUAACCUUAAGCAACAGUGACAGCAUGACUUUUCUCUAAAUAAGGAAUAUUAUAACAAAUUGGAUCCAUAUAUCCAAAACUGAAAAGGAGGUUGACCUUUUCAAAACAAACAAAAAUAAAUUCAGGACAAUAUGUUCUCAAAUGUUGCUUUUCAUAUUUUAUUUUAAAACUUAAUUGACCGCUCUAAACUUAUAUUCAGAUAUGACACUUGGAUGAUCAAUAACCAUGGUAAAUUGUACAUAGCUUUAAAGACAUGUAUUAAUUUCCGUAGAACAAUGUUGUAAAGACAUGUAUUUCCAUUUUCCAACUUAUCAAGAAUUUCAGACCUGAAUAUUUGAAAAUCAUGUGAAAGGUGAAAGCACUUAAAGUUUGAUGGUAUUCUCUCUUCAAUUUUCCAUCUUAACACUGCUUCUAUUUUAAUCCACAUCAAAAUAGAACCUAAAUCAGCUAGUUAUGAAAUAAGUAGUUCUAUUAUUUCUACUUGAUUUGAAACAGAAUAAUUCUUGUUCUUGUUAUUAAAAAAGACAACUGACCAAUAACGUUCUGAUUGUGCCUGUCAACCAUGAUAUUAAGUUUGUCACUGGUUCUGAUGGGAGCUGAGUCAGGUUAGGAAAUUACAUCAAAUUCUAUCAUCCUGUUUACAGUAGAAGAAGGACAUUGUAGGUCAGGCUUAUAUUCAGCUAGAACACCAGACUGCCAUUGAUAUUGUGACAUUUAAAACCAUGCUUAAUCUAAAAAGUUUUCACAAAAAAAGUUGUUUUAAUACUCAGGUCUUAAGUAUCUACAGAGCAAAAUACUUAUUUUAACAAAUCUUCUAAAAAAUAGUUUCCUGCCCAUAUAGAUUUUCUAUUGAGCUGUAUUAUAUGGAAUGUAAAAGACAAAUGGAAAAAUGGAAGAUUAAUACAAAAAUGUUCAUAAACAAUAUAAUGUAACUAAUCAUGUAUGAAAUAUUUGCCACUGGACAUUAGACAAACAAUAGUCAAUCCAGUGCAGCUAGUAUGAAUGGCAUAGUUACUUACACCCUAGGUUUGAAUUAUCUAGAUAAUACUUUGUAAAAUAAAAUUAUUUGCUAAUAUUUGUACUACUUUUAAUUAGGAUUUAGUAUAAAAAAGAAGAUGUGGUAUGAUUACCAAUGAGACAACUGUCCAUAAGAGACCAAAAUGACACAGACAUUAACAACUAUAGGCCAGAAUUAAAAAUAUUUUGGUUUGCCCAAACCCUUCCGAAAGGUUACGACACAGUGGGUAGGUAGGUAGGCAUUAUUUUAAUUUAUUUUUUAAGGCAAAAAGAAAUUGAAGUGUUAAUAGAUGUUUUGUUUAUUCUUAAUGCCUAUCUGAUAAAAUAAAAUAAAAAAAAUCACAUCAGGACAAUAACAGAUUUUGAGUAGGCAGCUACUUUCUGGGUAGGUAGGGUUAGGGCAAAAAAACAUAUUCUUUUUUAUGGGUUUUGCUUUCAUUUCCCAUGUCAGCACAUGAUCAAUAUAUACUGAAAAUCAACAUUUUUUUCAAACAACAAUAUACAAAGACAUCUUAAAACAAAUGAUUUCGCCAUCACUUAUUGGCCAAAAUAGGUCAGGUGAGCUUAAGGAAAAGUCAGAAGGGGAGAAAACUUCAUAAGGGGACACCAAGAAGACACAAUUCAAGGACAACACAGGAGAGGAGUACACUUAAUAUAGGACACCAUGAAGAAAAAUUUAACAAAGGACAAUUUAGUAGAUUAUAAAAUGUCCAAAGAAGACAUCAAAAAGAUACAUUUCAAGAAGGAAAACUCAGAAGAUGGAGAACACUUCAUAGAGGACACAAAGAAGACACAUUCAACAAAGGACAACUUAGUAGAUAAUAAAAUGUCCAAAGAAGGCAUCAAAAAGAUACAUUUCAAGAAAGAACAACUCAUUAGAAAAUAACAUUUCACGAAGGGCACCAACAAGAACAUUUCAUUGAGGACACCAAUUUUAAUAGACAAAUUUAAAAAGGAAAACUCAGAAAGGGAUGACAUUUCAUAGAGGAAACCAUGAAGACACAUUUCAAGAUGGAUAACUUAGUAGGAGAUAACAAAUCAUAUAGAACACCAAGGACAUAUCUAUUACAAUUCAAAGGUGGCAUCAAGAAGACACAUUCCAAGGAGGAUGCCAAUAAGAAUCAUUUCAUGAAGGAAAUUUCAGUAGGAGACAACAUUUCAUAUUGGCAACCAAAAAAACAGGUUUCAAGAAGGACAAAUCAGAAGGUAAAAACAUUUAGAUGAAAAACUCAGUAGUGGUGAACACUUCAUAGAGAACACCAAGAAGAUACAUUUCAAGGAGGGCAACUCAGUAGUGAAGAACACUACAUUAAAGACACCAAUAAGAACAACACAGUAGGGAAGAACACUUUAUAGAGGACACCAAGAAGAUACAUUCAACAAAGGACAACUCAGUAAGAUGUAAAAUUUCUUACAGGACACAAAUCAGACACAUUUCAAGAACAACUGAGGAGGGGAGAACACUUCAUCAAAAUCACAUAGAAAACACAUUCCAAAAAAGGACAAUUCAGUAGGAGAUAAUAUUUUAAGAAGGAUAACUCAGAAGGGGAGAACACGUAAUUAAAUGACACCAAGAAGACACCUUCCAAGAUGGAUAACUCAGCAGAGGCAAACACUUUAUAUGAUAUUGUCAUUGGCUAUCAUGGCAUAUUCAAGAUAUGUUUGACCUCAAUCUAUUUGUAUCGAUCACAAACAAAAAACUCCAACCAAACAUUUGGAGUAAAAGAGUUUGACUAUUUGGUUAUAUUUGUUUGACAAUCUUUUCUUUCUGUACACAAUACAAUCUCAAAUACAAUUUUUAACUUACUUAUUAUAUACUAUCUUGAUCAAUGUUAAAUGUUACUUAACAUGUUAAUUUCUUUUAUUUUUUUUAACUGAAAAUACAUGUUUACAUGAUACAUGUACUUUUCUGUAGUGGUUGCAUAUGUUGCUUACAUAUUUCUAUGGAUUUAUUUUUUUAUUUUUAUUCUAAUAAAUUGUGCGCUCCCAUGUACUUCUUGUUUAGCCAAUGGAAUCAAAGCACUAUUGCAUUGAUCAUACUUGUAAAGCCAAUGGAAUCAAAGCCCUAUAGCGUCAUUUUCCCUCGUGCUCAAACAAAUCUGUGUAUUUAUUAGGUAAUGCAAACAUUUCUUUAAAGUAUAUACUGUGGAUUCAUUUAUUUUCGUGGGUAUCAAUUUUCGUGGAUAGAGAAAAAAAGACGUUUCGUGGUAUACGUAAAUUCGUGGAUCGCUGAUUACAACAACAAAAAAUUAGAUAAUCAAUUCGUGGAUUUCUUUUUGAUUUAGGAGAUGAUAUAAAAUCCUUGGUUCUAUCAAUAAUAAAACAAAACAAAAAAGAAGGAAUUCAUUGAAAAAGUUUUGAAUUGUCAAAAUCCUCGCUUAAUUGGUCAUUCUAGGUUAAAGUGUUCAUUGAUAACUUCGAUUACAAUAAUGGACAGAGACAACUAAUAAUUUGUUUGUUUUACAAUUUAUAAAUUCUUGUCUGAAUUCUAUAAGGCAUUCAAAACUUUAUGAUUGAAAGCUAAUUUCCCUAAUCACGAUAUAAUAAACAGUGGUAUAAGUAUAAGGUGUGAAAAUAAACGUUCCUGUCAUAAACAAUAUUACCUACAGGGCAAUAUCCCCGUACUUAAUCCUAUUGAUUUUUAAUCACAGGUAAACCAAACUAUGACACGGUAAUUAACAACUUGCAGUUAUUUUCCAUGAACAGUUUUAAUCAAUUUUAAAAAGUAAAUUAUUACUGAUAUUCGAUAUAUUUAUUAUAGAUUUAAUCCAAAUACUUGUAUCUUCUUUCAAUAAAAAUCACGUGUUAUGUAACAAUGUUUAUCGCUAGUCAACAUUAUACUAGAACUGCAUAACAUAACCGGAAAUAAACAUCCAACUCCAUACAGAUUUCUCGGGAUUAUUCUUCGUUGAAUUCUUAAAUUCGUGGUUCGCUGUGACCCACGAAACCCACGAAAAUUGGUAUACCACGAAUAAAAAUGAAUCCACAGUAAUAGAUAUUUGGUUGUAUCUUACAUUUCAUUAGAAACAUGGUUAUAAAACAAAUUGCACUGAAAGUUGAAUUAUAUCUCUCAUAUCUUUCAAAUUUCUAGCUGCUUUAUGGCGUAAUGACUCAACAAUAAGGACUGUCCAUUGACAUGAUUGAAAAAUCUAUGUAACAAUGUAUAAAAAGGAUGUGGUAUGAUUGCCAAUGAGACAACUAUCCACAAUAGACCAGAAUGACACGGAUAUUAACAACUCUAGGUCACUGUACGGCCUUCAACAAUGAGCAAAGCCCAUACCUCAUAGUGAGCUAUAAAAGGCCCCAAAAUGAACAAAUAAACAAAUAUGUAACACAUAAACAAAUGACAACCACUAACUUACAGGUUCCUGACUUGGGACAGGCACAUACAUACAGAAUGUGGCUGGGUUAAACAUGUUAAGGGGGAUCCCAACACUCCCCUAAGCUGGGACAGUGGUGUAACCGUAUAACAUAAGAACAAACUAUAACAAGAGUGCACACGCUGAAAUGUCUCUCCUUCUAUACUAAUCAUUGAUAUUAUGUUGAUAGUCCUAAGUAUAAAGCUAAGCUUUAUUACAACUGUCACAUAAACUUAACAUUAACCAAGAUAACUAAACAAAGACCAAUGAACCUUGAAAAUGAGGUCAAGGUCAGAUGAACCAUGCCAGGCAGACCUGUACAGCUAACAAUGCUUCUAUACAACAUAUAUAGUUGACCCAUUACUUAUAGUUUAAGACAAGAGUGCACACGCUGAAAUGUCUCGCCUUCUAUACUAAUCAUUGAUAUUAUGUUUAUAGUCCUAAGUAUAAAGCUAAGCUUUAUUACAACUGUCACAUAAACUUAACAUUAACCAAGAUAAAUAAACAAAGACCAAUGAACCUUGAAAAUGAGGUCAAGUCAGAUGAACCAUGCCAGGCAGACAAGUACAGCUAACAAUGCUUCUAUACAACAUAUAUAGUUGACCCAUUACUGAGAGUUUAAGAAAAAUAGACCAAAACACAAAAACUUAACACUGUGCAAUGAACCGUGAAAAUGAGGUCACGGUCAUAUAAAACCUGCACGACUGACAUAAAGAUCAUAAAAUAUUUCCAUACACCAAAUAUAGUUGACCUAUGGCAUAUACAUUUGUAAGUAUUAGAUAAAAAGACCAAAACUCAAAAACUUAACUUUGACCACUGAACCAUGAAAAUGAGGUCAAGGUCACAUGACAUCUGCCCGCUAGACAUGUAUAGCUUACAAUCAUUCCAUACAACAAAUAUAGUAGACCUAUUGCAUAUAGUAUGAGAAAAACAGCCCAAAACACAAAAAUUUAACUAUAACCACUGAACCAUGAAAAUGAGGUCAAGGUCAGAUGACACCUGCCAGUUGGACAUGUACACCUUACAGUCCUUCCAUAGACUGAAUAUGCUAGCCCUAUUGCUUAUAGUAUCUGAGAUAUGGACUUGACUACCAAAACUUAACCUUGUUCACUGAUCCAUGAAAUGAGGUCGAGGUCAAAUGAAAACUGUCUGACAGACAUGAGGACCUUGCAAGAUACGCACAUAUCAAAUAUAGUUAUCCUAUUACUUAUAAUAAAAGAGAAUUCAACAUUACAAAAAAUUUAAACUUUUUUUUCAAGUAGUCACUGAACCAUGAAAAUGAGGUCAAGGUUAUUGGACAUGUGACUGACAGAAACUUCGUAACAUGAAGCAUCUAUAUACAAAGUAUGAAGCAUCCAGGUCUU